GGGGCAGAGCUUGGCGAGCGCCGAUUGGGCGGCUCGGCCUGGGUGGGCGGGACGCGGACCGCGGGGCGGGCCACGUGUCGGAACAGUGCAAAACGGUGACCCUGCCUUGGAAAGGGGCGGGAGGACCGGAGCGGCGUGAGUCCCGGCUCGGAGCGGACAUGGCAGCUGUGAGGCCCAACCUGGGCCGAGUGCUCCCUGGGUCGUCUAUCCUCUUCCUGUGUGACAUGCAGGAGAAGUUCCGCCAUGUCGCCUGCUUCCCCCAGAUAGUCUCUGUGGCCGCCCGAAUGCUCAAGGUGGCCAGGCUGCUGGAGGUACCGGCUGUGCUGACGGAGCAGUACCCAGAAGGCCUGGGCCCCACGGUGCCCGAGCUGGGUGCUGAAGGCCUGCGGCCACUGGCCAAAACUUGCUUCAGCAUGGUGCCCGCGGUGCAACAGGAGCUGGACACGCGGCCCCAGCUGCGCUCCGUGCUCCUCUGUGGCAUUGAGACCCAGGCCUGCAUCUUGAACACGACCUUGGACCUCCUGGACCGGGGGCUGCAGGUCCAUGUGGUGGUGGAUGCCUGCUCCUCCCGCAGCCAGGUGGACAGGCUGGUGGCACUGGCCCGGAUGCGGCAGAGCGGCGCCUUCCUCUCCACCAGUGAGGGGCUCAUUCUGCAGCUUGUGGGUGACGCCGCCCACCCCCAGUUUAAGGAGAACCGGAGUGGGCCAUGCUGAGUGCUCGGUGAGUGUGACAGGGGAGGAGGCAGAGAGGAGCCAGAUCCGUGUCUUCCCGGAGUGGAGGGGUUUGCACAAGGGAGCUGGCCAGAGUCAGAUCUGCAGAUCCAGAAGAUCAUCAAGGAGCCCGCGCCAGACAGCGGGCUGCUGGGCCUCUUCCAAGGCCAGAACCCCCUCUUCCGCUGAACUCCUCACCCUGAAGACCACCCUCCUGUCAUCUGGACCUCAGUGGAAUCACUUUGCCCCCAUCCUUGGAAUCCCAACAGUGGUGCAGUCCACCGGGAGUGCCACCCCCUCGGGAGGGGAGGUGGAGAGCUACCUUGCCAUUGGGCCAGAGCUCCCGGAAAUGCAAAUGAGACUCGUGGAAGCUGGGCGGCAGUUGGCUGAGCAGAGGUGGGGGCGGGGCUCGGCCCCGGGCCACUUCAAGAGGCGGGAAGGGGAGGGGGAGGGAGUGUCACAGGCUGUGGGACCCGGACUUGCCGAAUAAACAUUGAUGUGGCUGU